rnacentral:lncRNA from 10 species
UGAUAGCUGGGAUUACAGGUGCCCGCCACCACGCCCAGCUAAUUUUUGUAUUUUUAGUAGAGACAGGGUUUCGCCAUGUUGGCCAGACUGGUUUUGAACUCCUGACCUCAGGUGAUUUGUCCACCUCAGCCUCCCAAAGUGCUGAGAUUACGUGCGUGAGCCACUGCACCCGGCCAAGGCCCAAGGGCUCUUUAAUCAGCAAGUGUUGAAUCCUGCCAGGACAGUGUCCUUCCUUUCAAGACAGCAGGUUCCCUUCUGCCCCAGGGUGUGUAUAGAAAUGUUUUCAGGGAGUUAGUGUCUGAAAUGGGGGCCUUGUGACUCUGCCUCAUGCUCUAUUGUGGCUGAGCUAUUAUCCGAGUUGCAAAACAAAGUCCUUUUUACUCUCCCCUCUCCUCUCCUCUCCUCUAGUAGGAAGAAGGAGAAACUCUCACAGAGUUAUGAGCUGUGCACCUGGGGUGUGGGGAGGAGUGGUACAAGCACUCUCUUGGCCACCCCAGCAGGUGUCUCACUAGGUCAUAUGCAUCCCAGGUCCACUGGCUUCAAGCUCAGCACAGCACCAGAACUUGCCCAAGAAUUGCAGUCUUUGUGGCCUACACAGCCUUUCAAGUUUAUUUAGGACCCCAGAGUGCUUUAGCCCACAGUGUCGGGGUUAGCUGGAACUCAGGUUCAGACCACUGGGAUGGGUAAUUCCCCUUUGGCUAGCGCUGGUCUAAAUGCUCCUUCCACAGGCACUGACUGAAUUCUGCCCUGUGUUGCUUUCCACUGUAGUAGGCAGCACUGAGCUCCAAAUCUGUGCACCUGGGGGAGUGCAGUGAUUGUGGAAUGCAAAGUCCCACAAUCACUGUACUCCCCAGGUGCACAGAUUCUCUCUCUGCCCCAUGUGGCUGCUGCCACUGCCUGGGAAAGGAAGAGAGGUGAUGUUGGCAAUUCUAGACUCUUUUCUUGCCCCUUCAGUGGCUCCUUCCUUGAUAUGAUGUUAAAACCAGGUACUGUGAUUGCUCACCUGAUUUUUGAUUCUUAUGAAGGUGACUUCUUGUAUGGAUAGUCAUUCAAUUUGGUGUUCCUGCAGGGAGGACAAUCACUGGAGGGUUCUAUUUGGCCAUCUUGCUUCU